CUUCCCUACGGGAGGCAGCAGUAGGGAAUCUUCCACAAUGGACGAAAGUCUGAUGGAGCAACGCCGCGUGAGUGAAGAAGGGUUUCGGCUCGUAAAGCUCUGUUGGUAGUGGAGAAAGAUAGAGGUAGUAACUGGCCUUUAUUUGACGGUAAUUACUUAGAAAGUCACGGCUAACUACGUGCCAGCAGCCGCGGUAAUACGUAGGUGGCAAGCGUUGUCCGGAUUUAUUGGGCGUAAAGCGUGCGCAGGCGGUUUGUUAAGUCUUAAAUCAAAGCCCGAAGCUUAACUUCGG
rnacentral:rRNA from 1 species